rnacentral:rRNA from 1 species
CGGCAGCCCUAGUGGUGACCGUUUUUAUUGGGCCUAAAGCGUUCGUAGCCGGAUAGGCAAGUCUUUGGGUAAAUCCUACGUCUUAAGCGUGGGACUUCUAAAGAUACUACCUGUCUUGAGGCCGGGAGAGGCUAGAGGUACUCCUGGGGUAGGGGUAAAAUCCUAUAAUCCCAGGGGGACCACCGAUGGCGAAGGCAUCUAGCUGGAACGGGCCUGACGGUGAGGAACGAAACCCAGGGGAGCGAGCCGGAUUAGAGACCCGUGUAGUCC